GAGAGAGACAUGCGCGCAUAUCAAUAAGCGGAGGAAAAGAAACUAACAAGGAUUCCCUUAGUAACGGCGAGUGAAGCGGGAAGAGCUCAAAUUUGAAAUCUUCAAGGUUUUACCUUGACGAAUUGUAGUUUAAAGAAGUGUUUUCUGCUGAAGUUUUGGUAAAAGUUCUUUGGAAUAGGACAUCAUAGAGGGCGAGAAUCCCGUAUUUGACCAUUAUUUUCAGCUUUGUGAUACACUUUCAAAGAGUCGGAUUGUUUGGGAAUGCAGUCCAAAAUGGGUGGUAAAUUUCAUCUAAAGCUAAAUAUUGGCGAGAGACCGAUAGCGAACAAGUACCGUGAGGGAAAGAUGAAAAGAACUUUGAAAAGAGAGUUAAACAGUACGUGAAAUUGUCAAAAGGGAAGCGUUUGACACCAGUGUUGUUUUCUCGAAAAUCAAUUAAAAAAUGGCUAGAUUUUGUAUUGUUGAUUGACCUUUAUCAGCUUCACUGCUACAUCUUUUCGUGUCUUUUUUUAAUGCACUUUUCGUUUAACAAGUCAACAUCAGUUUCUUUUGUUGUAAAAGGGUCAUUGGAAGGUGGCUUUCUUUUCGGAGAAAGUGUUUAUAGCCUUUGGCCUCUGCAAUCGGAGAGAUUGAGGUCUGCAGCGUAGACUCCUUCGGGGUUAGAUACAUUUGUGCUAAGUUAUAGCCUUUUCAUAGACAACUUGUUGACUAUAAUCAGUCAUGUAGCUUACUCGCUUAUGCUAUUUUACCUACGCUUAGGAUGUUGAAGAUGUAGCACAUCAU
rnacentral:rRNA from 1 species